AGUGGAGAUGAGUGCUAGUGUUGGAUGGUUUCCGCGCGCACUCAGUGCCGGAGCUAACGCAUUAAGCACUCCGCCUGGGGAGUACGACCGCAAGGUUGAAACUCAAAGGAAUUGACGGGGGCCCGCACAAGCGGUGGAGCAUGUGGUUUAAUUCGAAGCUACGCGAAGAACCUUACCAGGUCUUGACAUCUUGCUCACAGCUUAAAAAAAAGACGUUUCCUUCGGGAACGAAGUGACAGGUGGUGCAUGGUCGUCGUCAGCUCGUGUCGUGAGAUGUUGGGUUAAGUCCCGCAACGAGCGCAACCCUUGUUGCUAGUUGCCAUCAUUAAGUUGGGCACUCUAGUGAGACUGCCGGUGACAAACCGGAGGAAGGUGGGGACGACGUCAAAUCAUCAUGCCCCUUAUGACCUGGGCUACACACGUGCUACAAUGGAUGGUACAACGAGUCGCGAACUCGCGAGGGCAAGCUAAUCUCUUAAAACCGUUCUCAGUUCGGACUGCAGGCUGCAACUCGCCUGCAUGAAGUCGGAAUCGCUAGUAAUCGCGGAUCAGCAUGCCGCGGUGAAUACGUUCCCGGGCCUUGUACACACCGCCCGUCACACCAUGAGAGUUUGUAACACCCAAAGUCGGUGGGGUAACCUUUUAGGAGCCAGCCGCCUAAGGUGGGACAGAUGAUUAGGGUGAAUCUAAAAGGGGGGAGAAAAAAAAUUUUUUUUUCCUCUUUCC
rnacentral:rRNA from 1 species